GACGCAGGGGGCCAGCGUUGCUCGGAAUUACUGGGCGUAAAGGGUUCGUAGGCGGUGUGGCAAGUCGGGAGUGAAAUCUCUGGGCUUAACUCAGAGGCUGCUUCCGAAACUGCCGUGCUAGAGUGCGGGAGAGGCGAGUGGAAUUGCAGGUGUAGCGGUGAAAUGCGUAGAUAUCGGGAAGAACACCCGUGGCGAAGGCGGCUCUCUGGAACGCAACUGACGCUGAGACGCGAAAGCGUGGGGAGCAAACAGG
rnacentral:rRNA from 1 species